rnacentral:lncRNA from 1 species
AUGACACAGAUUUUGUGUCCCACAGACACAAGAAGGAGAAGAAGAAGGACAGAGAGAGGGAGCGUGACAAGGACCGUGAGCGGAAAGAGGAGAAGGAACGGAGCAGAGAUGAGAGAGAGCGCUCCACCAGCAAGAAGAGGAGAAAGAGUAAGGACAAGGAGCGGGACAGGGAGAAGAGUGACACUGAGAAAGGGGACGUCAAGUGCUCUAAAACAAGGCCUGAUGCAAGGAGGGGUGCAAAGUAAGGGAGAGGUGCCGCAGGUGACUAGAGACUACGAUGAAGAGGAGCAAGGUUACGACAGUGAAAAGGGGGAGAAGAGGGAUUCUCCUCCAUCAUUGGAUGCUACCGAGUUGUCUGUGCCAGUGAAAGAGCCCAAAAUAAACGGUGAUGAUCAUCACGAGGAGGACAUGGACAUGAGUGACUGAAGCUGUGGUCAUCCGUAUGUGUAGGGUAUUACACAAGGUAUACCUUCCCAAUUUGAGUUUUUGGUUCCUCUUUACCUAAAGGAUGUUCUCCUUUAAUGCUCACAGAAGUCUGGCUCUGGUCAUUUAUUUUUCUAGAACCAUUUACAUCUGUCCAGACAUAAUAUGAAGUUGUAAAUGUAGCAGUUUUGUAUGAGGAAAGGCCUGUGUGCCUGCUGAGUUGAUGGGUUUUAUUUUUCUCUUGUCAUAUUUGUAAAAUACAAAUAAACUGUACAAGACAAAACA